AUUGAACGCUGGCGGCAGGCCUAACACAUGCAAGUCGAACGCGUGGCGGACGGGUGAGUAAUGUCUGGGAAACUGCCUGAUGGAGGGGGAUAACUACUGGAAACGGUAGCUAAUACCGCAUACCAUCAGAUGUGCCCAGAUGGGAUUAGCUUGUUGGUGGGGUAACGGCUCACAAAGGCGACGAUCCCUUGCUGGUCUGAGAGGAUGACACGCCACACUGGAACUGAGACAGGGUCCAGACUCUGACUGGAGGCAGCAGGGGGAAAUAUUGCACAAUGGGCGCAAGCCUGAUGCAGCCAUGCCGGGUGUAUGAAGAAGGCCUUCGGGUUGUAAAGUACUUUCAGCGGGGAGGCGUUACCCGCGGAAGAAGCACCGGCUAACUCCGUGCCAGCAGCCGCGGUAUUC
rnacentral:rRNA from 1 species